AUUGAACGCUGGCGGCAGGCCUAACACAUGCAAGUCGAGCGGAGCGGCGGACGGGUGAGUAAUGCCUAGGAAUCUGCCUGGUCGUGGGGGAUAACGUACGGAAACGGGCGCUAAUACCGCAUACUAUCAGAUGAGCCUAGGUCGGAUUAGCUAGUUGGUGGGGUAAAGGCCUCACAAGGCAACGAUCCGUAACUGGUCUGAGAGGAUGAUCAGUCACAAUGGGACAGAGACACGGGCCAGGCUCCUACGGGAGGCAGCAGGGGGGAAUUUUGGACAAUGGGCGAAAGCCUGAUCCAGCCAUGCCGCGUGUGUGAAGAAGGUCUUCGGGUUGUAAAGCACUUUAAGUUGGGAGGCGUUACCAACAGAAUGAGCACCGGCUAACUUCGUGCCAGCAGCCGCGGUAAUAC
rnacentral:rRNA from 1 species